rnacentral:rRNA from 1 species
CAGCAGCCGCGGUAAUACGUAGGUGGCAAGCGUUGUCCGGAAUUAUUGGGCGUAAAGCGCGCGCAGGUGGUUUCAUAAGUCUGAUGUGAAAGCCCACGGCUCAACCGUGGAGGGUCAUUGGAAACUGUUAAACUUGAGUGCAGGAGAGAAAAGCGGAAUUCCUAGUGUAGCGGUGAAAUGCGUAGAGAUUAGGAGGAACACCAGUGGCGAAGGCGGCUUUUUGGCCUGUAACUGACACUGAGGCGCGAAAGCGUGGGGAGCAAACAGGAUUAGAUACCCCGGUAGUCCCUGUCUCUUAUAC